rnacentral:rRNA from 1 species
GAUGAACGCUGGCGGCGUGCCUAAUACAUGCAAGUCGAGCGAACAGACGAGGCGCUUGCUCCUCUGACGUUAGCGGCGGACGGGUGAGUAACACGUGGAUAACCUACCUAUAAGACUGGGAUAACUUCGGGAAACCGGAGCUAAUACCGGAUAAUAUAUUGAACCGCAUGGUUCAAUAGUGAAAGACGGUUUUGCUGUCACUUAUAGAUGGAUCCGCGCCGCAUUAGCUAGUUGGUAAGGUAACGGCUUACCAAGGCGACGAUGCGUAGCCGACCUGAGAGGGUGAUCGGCCACACUGGAACUGAGACACGGUCCAGACUCCUACGGGAGGCAGCAGUAGGGAAUGUUCCGCAAUGGGCGAAAGCCUGACGGAGCAACGCCGCGUGAGUGAUGAAGGUCUUCGGAUCGUAAAACUCUGUUAUUAGGGAAGAACAAAUGUGUAAGUAACUAUGCACGUCUUGACGGUACCGAAUCAGAAAGCCACGGCUAACUACGUG